rnacentral:rRNA from 1 species
CUUUAUGAAUGAGAAUACGCCCGAUCUCGUCUGAUCUUGGAAGCUAAGCAGGUUGGGCCUGGUUAGUACUCGGGUGGGAGAUUAUUUUAUUUUUAAAAUUCAAAGUGAAUGUAAGCAGGC